UUGCUUUUCUGCACGUGCAGGGUUUGAACCUGCAGCAGGUUCGACAACAUGGCCGGGAGCCAUGUUGGCUGAUGCGUCAGCAUCACCCGCAGGGCGAGGCGCACGAUGCGCCGAGACAUAUCCUGCACGACCCACCA
rnacentral:sRNA from 1 species